rnacentral:piRNA from 1 species
UGAUUUCUUUCAUGGCUGCACAUGCUUCUC